GCCUUACAGGAAGCAUGAUGCUGGCCAUCUGUUUGGUUUUGGAGGAGGCCUCAGGAAAUUUACAGUCAUGACAGAAGGUGAAGGGGAUACAGGCUUGUCUUAUAUGGCCAGAGCAGGAAGAGGAGAGUGUGGAGGUGCUACCAGCUUUUAAACAAGAUCUCAUGAGAACUCACUCAUUGUAUAGUAUCAAGGGGGAAUGGUGCUAAACUAUUUAUGAGAACUCUGCCCCUACCAGGUCCCACCUCCAACACUGGGGGUUAUAAUUUGACAUAAGAUUUGUGUGGAGAUGCAUAUUGAUACCAUAUCACAGGCUAACUAAGAAAAAAAGAAAAUCUAAAUAAAUAAAAUCAGAGAAGAAAAAGGAGAUAUUACAACUGAUACCACAGAAAUUCAAAGGAUCAUUAGAGGCUACUAUGUGCAAGUAUAUGCCCAUAAGUUAGAAAACACAAAAGAAAUGAUAAAUUCCUAAACAAACACAACCUACCAACAUUGAACCAUGAGGGAAUUCAAAACCUGAAUAAAUCAAUAACAAGAGUUUGAAGCCAUAAUAGAAGGUCUUUCAACAAAGGAAAGCCUGGGACCCAGUGGAUUCACUGCUGAAUUUUACUAAACAUUUAAAGAAGAACUAUAAAAAUCCUACCCAACUAUUCUGAAAAAUAGAGGAGGGAAUAUUUCCAAACUCAUUCUAAAAGGCCAGUAUUACCCUGAUACCAAAACCAGACAAGAACAUAUCAAAAAAAGAAAACUAUAGGACAAUACCCCUGAUGAACAUUGAUGCAAAAUUUAUCAACAAAAUACUAACAAACUGAAUUCCACAACAAAGUGAAAAGAUUAUUCAUCAUGACAAAGCAGAAUUUCUCCUAGGGAUAUAUUAAAUUAGCCAUAUGUAUAUAUAUGUAGUAUUUUGUAGUUGAUUUCUUGCACACAGUUGAUAUUUGUUACAGUCUGUUCUCAUAGACUAUAACUACCUGAGACUACCUGAGACUGGGACAUUUAUGAAGAAAAGAGGUUUAAUUGACUCACAAUGCUGCAGGCUGUACAGAAGGCAUGGUUACGAUGGCCUCAGGAAACCUACAAUCAUGGUGGAAGGGUGAAGGGGAAGCAAGCACUUUCUUUACAUGGCAGCAGGAGGAAGAGAGCAAAGGAGAAAGUGUUAUGCACUUCUAAACAACAGAUCUCAUGAGAACUCACUCACUAUUAUGAGAACAUCAAGGGGAUAAUUUGUCCCCAUGAUGCAAUCACCUCCCACAAGGUUCCUCCUCCAACACAUGGGAAUUACAAUUCAACAUGAGAUUUGGGUGGGGACACAAAUCCAAACCAUAUCAUUCCACCCUUGACCUUUCUAAAUCUCAUGUCCUUCUCAUUUCAGAACACAAUCAUGACUUCUCAACAGUCCUCCAAAGUCUUAGCUCAUUCCAGGAGCUAAGUCCAAGGUCUCAUCUGAGACAAGGUAAACUUUUCAUAGUUGAAUAAAAACCAAGAACAGAUUAGUAAGUACUAAAAUAGUAUGGGCCCUUAUCAUUGUAUCUUUUCCAAAUAAAGUUAUCCCAGUAUAUAAUCUUUACAGGCAAGCCCUAUUUGGCAAAGAAACUAUGUCCAAAUGUUUGUGUUUCAAACAUAGAGUAAUUAUAAACAGUGUAGCAACUUCUCAUGAUUGGCAAAGAAGAACACAUAUUGGGGUUUUUAACAUUCCACGUAGUUUUAUUAACAUUUAUCUUCAGUUAGGCAUUGAGUACAUGUGAAGACAAUAUUGGAAUUGAGAUAAAAUAUAUACACUUAAUGUUUUCUGUAAGGAUAAGACAAAGAUAACAUCUUAUUUGAUAGUUUGAACUGGUUGGAAUUUGACCAAUUAGAAUGAAUAGCUUUGCCUGAAAAUCUUUAUCUUGAUGGUCAGAAUUUAGAUGGGUAAGCUGCCUGAUUAAUUCCAGAUUUCAAAUAUUUUCAUUCCAAAUUUUCUUCCUGGCAGGAUAAUUACCAGGAAUAAUAUAGAUGAGUACAAAUGUUUUUGGAAAAAUUUAUGUUGUUUAGGGUUAAAAAUAAGUUCACGAUAUUUAAACUUGGUCAACUUAAAUGAUAUUUAAAGUACUUGGUAAACUUUGUCAUCUUCUAGUUUCUAAACAUUUUUUGGAAAUAAUCCUUGCAAGGUUUUGUAAUACUCAGUGUUCUCUGGAAGAUGAAUUCCAGUUGGCUGUAUUUCAUAGCACCUGCAGCUUUCGGAAAUAACUAAGAUUUUCAGUUGACAUGUCCUAGAUAUUAAUUUAUGUUGUAAGUUAAAAUGAUUAAAUUUGUGUGCUUGUGAGGCAAGGUGCUUUUGUUAAGAAGAACAUUUAAUGAAGAACAAAUAAAGUCAAACAGUGAUUUAAAUCUCUAUUUAAGAGAGAAAAAUAUAUAAAAGUAAUGCUUGGAAUUUGACCUCAGCUGUUAAGGAGAAAAAUGAAUUACAAGAAAAUGUAGAAGCAUGUAUCUUAGCUUAUUUCAGUGUGGUUGUUUUAUAACCUUAAAAAAAAUACCAUUUAAAGUAUUGCAUGUGUAACAAAGUGUUAUUUUGUUAAAUUAUUCUUAUGCAAAUAAGGUUUGCAACAUAUACUAAAGUCUCAUUAUUUGUGUGUUGUCUUUCUGAGAGUUAGAAUAAACAGUGAAAGAUUAAACAUAGGAUUCAAGUUGCCUGUGGUUUGAUCCCAAAUUUUAAAUGUUCAUUGAGAAGAAGAGUUCUCUGAGGUCAGACACAGGAAUGAUACAGAUUUAAUUAUGGUUUUGAGUCACAGCCCCUAAAACAAGAAUGGUCCAGCAAUGAGCAGGAUAAUAAAUCAAUAAAAGAUUGGAUGACAGCGUCACAAACCAAUAUUUUGCAUGUGACCACAUACCUAGAUCACUACUAAAUUUAGUUAUUAUUUGGAAAUUCAAGGAUAUCCAGGGUUGGCCUGGGGAUUUAAAAUGCAUGUUCCUCAUUGAGGGUUUGGAAUGGGUUAAGGAUCUUUUAAAAGUAUUUGGGGGUUUUGUCAAGUCCUGAGUUUUCCUGAGUUUAAAUGCUUUUAGGAAAUAGCAAUUGGCUCACUACAGAUGGUUUUAGGAAAAAAACAAAAGACAAAAACAACAACAGCAAAAAGCUUUUAAAUAUGUAGAUCUUAGACACUAGACCUGCCUUAGACUAGAGGAAAAGAUGGCUAAAAGUGAUAAAUUUAGGUGACAAAUUUUCAGCUUUAUUGCCUUGUCCAUUUACUGCAAACCUGGAAAGAUAUAAAAGAAAUUUGCUGAAAGGAUGGGUAGAAGCACAGAAGCUGUUAAGGAGCAAUUGUGUCCUUAGAAAAAGGAGCAUUAGUUUCCAGAAUAUUUGUGGGAUAAGAGAAACUGAGGAAACACUGAGGGAUAUUUGAGAGGGACUGAUGGAAAUACGCUCUUCCAGGGAGGCAGGCACUGUUUUUUAUUGGUCAACAGUCUAUUUCCUGAGCAUAAUUGAGUACUUGCACUCAGAUGGUACUUAGCAAAAAUUUGUUUAAAAAAAAGAAAUUUAAUCCCUCUCUCCUCAAUCCUUCUCUUGCACUUUGCAGCUAACUUCAACUAUAGUACAUGUUAUAGUAUGUUGAAUUUUUUUUUUUUUUGAAAUGGAGUUUUGCUCUUGUUGCCCAGGCUGGUGUGCAAUGGUGUGAUCUCAGCUCACUGCAACCUCUGCCCUCUGGGUUCAAGUGAUUCUCCUGCCUCAGCCUCCCAAGUAGCUGGGAUUCCAGGCGCACGCCAACAUGUCUGGCUAAUUUUUGUAUUUUUAGUAGAGACGGGGUUUCGCCACAAUGGCCGGGCUGGUCUCAAACUCCUGACCUCAGGUGAUCCACCUGACUCGGCCUCCCAAAGUGCUAGGAUUAUAGGCAUGAGCCACCGUGCCCAGCCCAAUAUGUUGAAUUUUCAUGUAGCAUGCUGUAUGUUGAGAGAGAACAGACUUUGGAGUUGGAGAGAUAUGGCUUCCAAUCAAAUUCUAUUCACUAAUAUCUUGAUAAUUUAGGAAAUUUGCUUAACUCCAUUGAGCUUCAGUUACCUCAUCUGUGAAUUAGGAAUAAUACCAAAAUCAUAUACAAAAAGUUUAGCACAGUGCUUAAAAUAAAGAGGAAUGUGUAUAUUGAAUAACAUGAAUGAUACAUUUGUAAUAGAGAAUGUAGAAUAGAAUGGAACAGAACAGAAUAGAAUAGAAUAGAAUAGAAUAGAAUAGAAUAGAAUAGAAUAGAAUAGAAUAGAAUAGGUUACAAAUCUAAAGUAAUAUAUCCGCUGAAAAACUUACCUGAAUAAACUGGUUGCCUUAGAAAUGCAUCAAAUGGCAAGUUCACUCAUGAUUGAUGCCAAAAUAGGUAGGUGCUAUAAUUCACAAUUAAUGAGUAGAGGAAACUAUUAUAGCCCCUGACAAUGAUAAAUAUUUAGGAGUUAUUUGGGCUAAUAAUUUUGAGGUAGGACAAAUUCCCUUUCCAGCAACGCUGAACAAAGUAGAUUCUCUUUGUCAUUGGUUGAUGCUUAGUAAUCCACUCCCGGAGCAAUGCCAGAGGCCUAGACCUGGAAACUAGAUUGCACCAACACCAAAGCAGAAUUUCUGUCCUACAGGUUCUCCAUAGACAGGGAGAGAAGGAAAACUAGCAGGAGAAAUUUUGGAGUCCAGUAGGUCACUGCAGAAACCUGAAUCAGAAGAGUGACAAAUUGAGAGAGGCUCAGAAAACAGUAUUCAAAUCUAGCAGUCAUCAUAAGACCAACAGAUAGAAAGCUGGAGCAAGGAUAAGGAAUGGGUUUUGGGUGAGAGGGGAAGACGAGAAUGGCAGGUAGACCAAGGUUGUUGAUAAAGUUCAUGCUUGGCUUGUGUUGGGCUCAGGAACAAAAAUGAGAAUAAGUUUGUAAAUGACAUGAAAAAGAAUUGGAAAUACUGUGUAAUUAAAGUUGCAGGGAAAUCAGAAAAAAAAUGUAUUUCUAAACACAUAUAGAAUGCCUUGUAAUUUAGGUUCAUAUUCUCAACACAUUUGGCAGAGUUUCCUGAAGAAAGACAAAUCUUAAAAAGAUAUACAAAAUCAGGGAAGAAAAUUUAUUGUUCAAAGAGACAUUUUAAAAUAUGACUGGCCUUAAAAUGUGAAAGGCACAUUGAACUGAAUUUGACCUUGGCAAUUUGUAAUAAAAGAUGAAUACUUUUGCAAAGAUGGAAUUUUUGUUUAUCUAAAUUAAAUGAUAAACAUUAUUCUUCUUGAAGUCUGCCUUAUCCUAGAUCUUCAAUUUUCUUCAAUGAAGGAUGUCUUCAGAUAUUUUUAUCCAAAGCUUUUUCUUCAUUAUUUUGAAUAUUCAUUUUAAUCUUCAUUCACUAAGGAAAAUUAAUGGAAUGGGAUGGAUUCACUCAUAGUUAGAUAUGUAUAUAUGCAAUCUUUCCUCAUUAUAAUUUUUACAACGUGGAUAUGUUUACUUUAUAACUCACAGAGUAUAUCAUUUUUAUUUUCUUGCUAUAUCUGUUUUAUUUUUGAUUAUAAAAAAUGUCUCAAAGGAUAAAAUUAAAUAUGUGUUUGUGUAUAAAAAGCAAUUCUAUGCAAUGAUUAGCCUCCCCAUUACCCAGAAACAUUUUUUAUGCUGACAAUUGAUGAAUCUCAUGUUAUGGCUCAUUAGUAAACUUAGGUUCAGUUCCAAGUUUUUAGACAUACUCCCAAAAGUCAUUCAGUAUAAACAUAUAUGUACUUUACAGCAUUUGUUGUGGUAGGUCAGAGGAUAUUGUCAAUGAUUCUGGUCUUAUUUAAGAAGGCUCUGCAGUUUGGUAUAUCAUUUGCACCCUACAUACAUAAGGAGCAUAAAAGUCAACCAAGAACAUAGCACUGUGGCAUAUCACAUGACAAAGAAUGGUAUCUCUGGGAUUCUCAGUCCUCAUUCUGUCAGCUCAUAGUCUAAACUUCAAUGUUGACUUUUAGAAGAAGCCUAAGGCAAAAUUUCAAAGGAGCAGAAUGCAAAAAUUACAGUUGACUAUUAACCAGAGUUUAUUGAAGAAUGGCAAGAAAUGACUUGGUAGUGACUGAAGUAAGAAAGUGCCUCGCUUUUUGAUCGAAGCAUUACCUGUUUUCAAAGGACUAUGUGGUCUAGAAGGCACUCAGGAGACUAACUUAGUGACCAGAGGAAAAAAAGGUUACUUAUGGUUCUGCCUUGUGACUCUUCAUUAUCAGCACAUUCCAGAAACUCAUAUCCCUUGCUUUUCCUUUUUUAUUUCCUAUAUUCUUUCAUAUUUUUAAAGAACAAGUCUCACUUUGUAGUUUAAGAUUGUAAAGAUUGUAAAGUUAUUUUAUCUCAUUGCU
rnacentral:lncRNA from 10 species